UCCCAAAACCGGGAUUCCCCUUUGGCCAGCUCUCAUUCUUCCAAUUCUAAAGAUGGAGACUGGCGAACGGCGCUGGGCUCUGCGCUGGGUGGUGUGUUUCAUCGCGACAGAAUCCAGGAAUUUCACGAUAGAAGUAGCUUGAGGCGCUUGGGCCUUGCAGUCUAUUUGGGGCGUGGCCUGUCUCCGUCUGCCAAAGGCCUUAAGCUUCCUGGUCUUCAUUGUAUCUCGGCACGGUCCUCUCGUGACUAAACCACAACAGGAGGAAAAAGGGCUCGCCAAAUUGCUGAGAAAUUACGCCGUGAAGAGCCCUCGCAGCUCCUUCUCUCGGGAUCUCCUGCUCAAGAUAGGAUGGGGAAGCAUCCUCUGGCUUGAAGUUCCCAGAAUUCAGAAGCAGUACUGCUCUCUUCAUCCCCUGAUCACCCCUAGGAAUCUGCACUGGGGCUCAUGUAAGUUAUUUCCUCCAUUAACACUGCUGCCCUCCCUCCUUCCCCAAGGCAUUUCUCUUUGGUUGGCUAAUUCCCUUUGGUAAUUGGUUUUGCAGCUCUGUUAGGAGUUGUUUCCUGUGUUUAUUUCAUUAUACAGGAAAGAAAGGGAGAACUCGGAGUGGGCCAAAAGGAUUAGAAAAAUGAUGCCUGGCUCCAUGAUGCCCACAUGCAGUGAGCCCCUUAAUCCUUGCCUCUGUCCUCCUGGUGCUGUCCCUAGGCUGAGACCCUGGCUGGAAGAGUAUUGCCCGCAGCUAGAGCAACUAAGGAGGCCUAGGAUGAGUGCCAGGACUUCCAGGAUGCAUGAGGGCUGCCAAUACCAAUGACCGGGGAGAGGGUUGUCAUCCCUGUGGAGGUACUAGAGAAGCUGGGAGGGGGGAGCUGGGGGAGAGGAAAGAAGGCAGAGAUGAGCUCAGGGCCCCCAGAGAAUGGAGCCUUUGUGUGGGGUACAGAUGAGGGACAAGGGGGUGAUUGUGUGGGAGGGCCGGAAGUGCCACACAGACUGGCACCACCAUAGCUAGUACUGGAUUCACCCCUCUCCUGCCCUGAGAACUCCCUAUGCCCCAAGGGACCAGUACCAGACCUGGUCAGGGAAAGCAGUGUGUGCCUGAAGGCAGCAAGGGAUGGAAAGGUGGAAAGGAGGAUGUGCAGCCAAGAGAAAAAGAGAGGUAUCCCCCGCCAUUACCCCAGACCCAGGGAACAGGAGGCAGAAGAAAAAAGACAGAAGCAGCUUUUACUAUAUUUACAUCCAACAAAACUUUGCAAGGAACAAUCCUUAUUGCACAGUCAGGGCCCUGGGUGGGUGAGGCAUUCCCCAAAGUGGAGUGGACAAGAAGGAUCAGAACUAGAGGGGGCACCAAUUCUCCCUAAGGGGAGCCUGGGACUCCUCUAGCUCCCAUCUCCCGAAUUUCAAGGAGCUCCAAACCACUGGACCAUGGUGCCCCCAUUUCCCUUCUCUUUCUCACCAUCCAUGAGAACCCCAUAAGCAAGGGGGCUGUGGCUCCAGAAUAAAUAACUUAAAAUAAAAUACAAACACUUAAGGUAGAAAGGCAUGGAGAGCCUUGGGCUCCUUCGACAACUCUAGGGAAGAGGGACCAUCACUGAUGGGGAAUGACAUCCCUCCCUCCCAUUCAAGGCAAAGGCUCAGUAGCUCUAUAUCUUGCCAGUUGUUUUUUAAAACAAAAACUUAUAAAAAUGACCAGGGCACUGCAGAUCUGUGGGUACCCUGGAGGGGAAUUCCUGGUAUAGGAUGGGGAGGUACAGAGAUGUGCCAGCUCCCCCCACCCCAGCCCCCAGGCCUCCUCCAACAUCAGCAUGAGCAUGUUGGGCAGAUUGGAAAUAGGGGUUUUGUGACUUUUGGUAACAGUGGGUCCCUCUUCCUGCUGCCCCCGCUCAGAGCUUAUGGCUGGGCAUGCUUCCCAGCCUGUUCCCAAUUCCUCUAUAAAAGGAACAGGGAAGCAGUUUAUCUCUAGAAUCCUUUCUCCCUCACCUCCUCACUCCAGGCUGGAUAAGGAAGCUUAAGGGUCCCUAGCAUUCCAGAGGUGCUCCAAAAUAUUUUCGGCAAUCAAUGGCCUUUGGGGUGGGCAUCUGUGCCCGCCGCUGCCUCAGCUCCUCCUUGCCCAUGCUGCUGGCCAGCUUGUUAAAGGCGGACUUGUACUUCUUGUCGAAGGCCACUAGGGAAGAGGGUGGGGGUAAGUUAGUAUAUUAGGAGUCCAGCCUCCCACACCUGGCCCCAGGUCUCUAAACUCCUCAGCCCCCUGCCUGCUCCCUCACCUAUAUCCACAUGGUCCUUGCCCAGAGCAGCCAUCGUCAGGAAUAAGAUCUCACGGUAGAUGCCCCUGGAGCAGAGGCAGGAGGGUAUGAGCGAGGGAAAGGGGGCAUGGAGCCGGGACAGACCAGUGGGAGCAGCAUACCUCUGCAGGUGCAGGCCAGCGGGAGGGGGCCCUAGCGUUUCCAGAAGGAGCCCUAUAGCCUUGUGCACCUCAUUGAGACCGACAUGGCGCAGCACCGACUCCAGCAAUGCCAGGCUAAGGGAUACAGGUACUGGGCCUGGCCAUACCACCCGCUGGGGGAUCUGGCCUAGGUGAAAAAAAAAAAGGUACCCAGGAUUAAUGAGCCCUCUAAGCGUGGGACCCACCCCUUCCCACCCUAGGCCAAAUACCAGACUCACUGUGGACCCUCCAGAGCACAUAGAGAGGUGGGCAACUACUGGGGUCAGGGGUCAGGACAUCCCACAGCAGCCGCACCUGCACAGAUGCUGGAUCGGGCAUUAGCCAAGGAGAUGGGGCCUGCAGGGAACCAAGAUAAAGGAGCCAAGCUCAGGGAAUGGGAGGCAAAGGACAGGAAAUGGACAGGCGAUGUUCCCAGAGACAGACGGACAUCACAGGACAUAGCCAAAGAGAAGAGGAAAGGAACUCUUGUUCUCCACAGGAAGGCAAGCUCUGUGAGAGCAAGGACUUUGUUUUGUAGUCUGCUACAUCCCUAGUGCCUAACGCUCUGCCUAGAACCUAAAAGGUGCUCAAUAAAUAUUGGUGCAAUGAAUAGACGAGCAUUAACGAAUCAUCACCGAGGUACCAGGCACUAUACUAGGUGUCCAACAACAGACCAGUGAGAUGAGUGCUUACACCUUUUUACAGAUGAGAAAAUUGUAGCUCAGAACAGUGAAAUAAAAGGGCCAGGAGUCAAUCCAGGUACAAAUGACUCCCAAGCCUGUGCUCUUUCUAUAGCACCAAGGACACAGAGGACUGAGAGACAGAGCUGGGAGACAAGGAGGGGAAGCAGGGACCACAUCAGGGCACUGACCGGGGUGGGUGGGGGGCCAUCACAGGAGGCCAGCACCAGGCAUGGCAGAAUACUGGGCAGGCGCAGCCGCUGGAAAUACCACAGAAGGUUCCAGAAGAUGAUGGGGUGGGCAGCGGGCAGCUCAGGCAACGCCAGCACCUCACUGCCCUCGUUCUCUACCAGUGACUCCAGCUCCUUACGCAGCACCAGGGGGCUCAGGUAUGCCCAUGCCCCACCCUCGACCCGCCGGGAGGCAACCUGUCAGGCACAAAGGGGAAGGGCAGUGGAGGGCAUGUACCAUGGCCCCAUCCUCAGAGCCACGCUUCCCACUGAGCCACCACAGCCAGCAGCUUCUGGGAUGCCCCUUGCCCUCGAUGCCCAUCUCUCCCCAGCACCACUGAAGCCAACCACAGGGCAACACAUACACACAUACACACACAGCCCUUACCCCCAUGUGGCCAUUGCAGAGCUGGGGUUCAUCCAGGGCAAGGCAGAGCCUGCGGUCACUGAGCACAGGGCCUGGGCCCCCAGGGACAGGAGCGUCUCUGUUGCCACUGGCACCAGCAGGCUUGGGGCCGGGGGCGCUGCAGGAAGACAGCGGGAGGGGUUAGCCCUUGGACCUUCACCUCCCUGGCCCACCCACCGCACUUUCCCCGCUUUGGGCACCUGGGUCGGGAAUCAAGGGUCUGGACACUGAGCAGGGGCACAAAGGGGCAGGCGCAGAAGGGGCAGGUCGUGUUAAGGUUGGAGUCGUCAGGUGCCCAGCCGGCCAUGAUCUCCUCAUCGUACACCAGUGAGUCACAGGCGCGGCACAAGGAGCAGCUGGACAGCAGAAUCUGCAGGCAGGGAGACCCCAGGAAGCAGGCCCUUUUGGCAUCCAGGCUCAGGUGCCCAUGCUCCUUCUUCCCCUGCCCCUCUCACCUUCACAUCCCAGCCCAGCCUCCCCACCUCCUCCCAGCCCCUGCCUGUGACAGAGUGAAUGGGAGUGGUGUGUGUGUGUUCAAGCACAUCUGUGUAGGAGGGGUUAUCCUCACUUCCAGGGAAGGUGGUGGGAAGGAUCCAGGGGUGUCGCUGAGGCGCUCUGAGGAACGGUGAAGGCUCACACUGCUGAGAGAGGAUUCUGAGAGGUCCCACUCACUGCCCAGAGAGGCUGAGCUCUGCCAUUACAUGAGAAAGCACAGUUAGCCCACCCCAUGCUCCUCUUCACCCAGGAUGCUGGCUUCAGCCGCCCCUCAUGGCCCUCUCUGGGCACACCUGGUCAGCAGCCCUUCCCCAGGCCUCCUGGUGCUACAGUGGCUGGACCCUCCCCUCACUGGCUACCUCGGACGCAGUGGAUCCAGGGCGCUCCCGGGGGCGCAGAAGGCUGUCCAUGGGGCUACGGCGGGCUGGGGGAGGAAGAUCAGGGGGCAGCUCAGGCGGGGGAACGCGAGAGGCAGGGGAGCGGCGGGAAGGAGUGAGCAGCUGUUGGAGGCGGGCACCCAGCCCUCGUCUCGGUGUGCUGGCCUCAUCCUGACGCCCACCAGUCUUGGGCACCCGCCCACUUGACCCUUCCAGGGCUUCAGUUGACUGGGUACUCAGGGCUGAGCCUGAGUCCCCUGGGCUGCCUCCAGCUGCUGGCUCCUCUCCGGUCAGGCUCAAGUCUGAGAGGCUUCCAUCGUGCCAGGGUACAGGUGAUCCCCGGGGUUCCAGUACCCCUAAGGCCUCUAUCACUGCAGGGCAGAAAAGAAUCAGGGAAGAUGGAACUCAGCCCCUCCUCUAGGAACUGAGUAAACACAAUUCCUGGCCGCACGAACUCUGGCACCACAACCCCCACCAUGAUGGCAUUCCAGGCAAGAUUCCCUCAGGGUCUACCCAGCACAAAGCGCCACCCCUCCAUCCUGGCUCUAGUCUUCCCCUCUUUCACUGGCAAGUGGUUAGGAAAGCUGACAGGACUGAGGGGUGGGGGGUAGGACAAGGGUACUCACUGUGGGCCACGCCAGCCUCCACGGUGGGCUGUGCCCCUCGGGCACUACCCAGGCUGCCGCUUUUCACCAGACGCCCCGUAGGUGAGGCGGGGUCCCGCAGGCUUCGCCCAGCCCAUGUAGUCUGGCGCUGAAGGGGGCGGGUUGGGGAGAGGCGCCCCAGAUAGGGCUCUGUAAAAGACAGGGAGGGGGUUGAAGGCAGCCGGGUAGAAACCCAACCCCGGAUUCCAAAACAGCUCCUUGCGUGGACCUGAAAUCAUAGGGCUUCUCCCAGGCAGAACUUCAUGUCUUUUGUCACCAGCCAAGUGUAAUUUCAAUACCAACCACUAGGCCAGCCCCAGUUCUCUGUGACUGUCCCUGCCUGAGCCUCCCUAGUCCAUCCCGAGCCAUGUCACCAGUCCCUACCCACCUGUCUGGGAGCUGCCUGCCUCUCGUUGUGCUGCUGUCUCCGCCUCCUCCUCCUGCUUCGGCUGCUGCCGCCGCUGCCGCCGCUCUCUCAAGGGCUGGCGGAACUGAGCAGCCCCCAUGACGACGUUCCGGAGCUUGGCCCAGCGCAGGCGCCCACCCGGUGUACCAGACGGCCACUUGCUUUCCAGCACCGCCUGCCAAGCACCAUGCACAUCAAGAUGGCCUAGUUCCACACCCUGGCCCAGCCUGAGGCCCACUGUCUGACCUGGAGCCCCAAGGACCAGCUUCCCCUCCAGAUGUCCUGCCUAGGACUGUGCUGCGUGGCUCAGCCAGGAACAAGAGCCCAGAAGAGGCAGCUGACAGGAGCCACCCUGUGGGGUUCUAGAGGAAGUCAGAAGUGAUGGAGACAAUCUGUAUCCAGACUCUGCUGUUUAUAAACUACAGUCUUUGAUGAAA